CCCUUAGAUGUUCUGGGCCGCACGCGUGCUACACUGAACGGUUAAAUGGGUAAGGUAGUGCGAAAGCAUGACCUAAUCUCGAAAUCCGUUCGUGCUGGGGAUAGAAGCUUGCAAUUAUCCUUCUUGAACGAGGAAUACCUUGUAAGCGUGAGUCAUCAUCUCACGCUGAAUACGUCCCUGCCCUUUGUACACACCGCCCGUCGCUCCUACCGAUUGAGUGUUCCGGUGAGGCUUUGGGAGAAUGGCCUCAACAUGAGUUUAUCGUGUUUUGCCGUUUGAACUUAGUCAAACCUUAUCACUUAGAGGAAGGAGAAGUCGUAACA
rnacentral:rRNA from 1 species